GCCUGGGACCCGGCCCCCCCACCCUCCCCUACCCUCCCCUCCCACAGGGGAGGCCCAAGGAGCCAGCUGGCUGCGUGCAGAAGGUCCAGGAGAAGGGCCGGGGGACGUGGCAGGUGCCAUGAGCUGGGCGGAGGCUGGCGCACCGGGUACUUGAAUUCUGUCAUCUUCUCUGCACUGUGUCCGCUCAGCCUGGAGUGCCGUGUGGUGGCCUGACUUCGUGUUUGGCUUGGCUGUCUGCCUGCCCCCAAAUGUGGAUGAAGUGUAGAUGGGUUAUCUUUAUGGAAAUAUCUUUGCUGCAAGUGGAGAAAGGCCUACAGCCCAUUAACCAAGUGAAACUCAGAGAAAGCCUCUGCCCGCCUCUGCCAGCGGUGACUCCUGAGCGCGGGGCCGAGCGCCAGCCGUCUUCUGCUUUAACUACUGUCUCCGAGCGUCGCUGCUGCACGAUUCGUCAUUCUGUCAGCCAGCCGGCUCCAUGCGCCGUCACGGAGCGUUCAGGGCUUGGUGCAAGAUGUUUCUAAAAUGGCAAAGGUUUUUUGUGUUUGUUUGUUUCUUUCUUUCUUUGAAAAGAAAAGUCACGCAGUAUCUAAAGCGUUUGUUUUGGACGACCUGCCUGCGUUCUGAUCAGCCACGUCCAUGGUUAGCGUUUUGCACGUGAUUAUGAUUUUUAUGUCAAAAGAAGCCAAAACUUGCAAUACUAUUUUUAGCAGACAAAAAGAACUAUGUAUAAAUAUUUUUGACUUGAACAUUUGGAUGGCACUGGGUGCAAAUAGAACAUUCAUCCUUUGGACAGAAUGUUUGGAAAAAAGACUUUUAAAAAGGAGACGGUUGUUUCAGAGAAUCUGUUUAGGGAUUAAAGUAGUACUGUAACUCAUGACUGUUAAAAAAUAAAUAAAAUAAAUUGUUCCUGUGCUGUAAAGGAAGGUUUCACAGUACCACUGAGUUAGGUUUCAGCCGCAGAAGAUGCUAGCUUUUUUGGGUUUGGUUUUGUUUUGUUUAAGAAGGAGGAAGCCUUUGUUUAGUUCUGUCCUCCCGUUUAUGUGCCCGGUAGAGUCAAGACUGUUACUUUUUAGCCAUGGCUGACAUUGUAUCAAUAACUAAAUAGAAACAUCCACAAGCGACCAGGGAAACCCCGAGGGCUUCAAGCGUGCUCAGAGCCAUUUCAUAAGGCGGAAAUCCAUUACGGACAAACAAAAGGAUGUGAUCAUUCAUUGUAAAGCGCUUUGUAAAAUUUACAUUUACAAAAUAAUAAAGUCAGUUCAAACCGAG